rnacentral:lncRNA from 1 species
UGCAUGUUCAAUAGUCAUAAAUCUACAUAGCCCUGUGAAGCUACUAUGAUAUUGAACGCGACCAAUAUAAAUAUCAUCAAGUAAAUUUUUUUAGUAAAUUGCAAAUAGUUGUCUAAUAUCAUUAAAAAAAAAUCUUGUUGCAAGAUGGUGGAGAAAAUCUGACAGUUACAAAUUCUGAAAAUGUCGAAGGUGCCAAAUUGAUUCAUCCUAUUUCUGCCAUUAUAUAUAACAAAAAAAAGUCAGUUUUUGAUAAUUGCUCUAUAAACGACAAUAUUUGGCCAAACUAAGCUGUACAUGUAUUGCCUUUUAUGAUCUUUUAUCUUUUAAAAUGUAAUUGAUAAUCUGAUACGGGUAUAUUGUACAUGUAGGAAUGAUACCAAUGCUUUCCCAUAUACAAGUGGAUAAAUGAUAUUUUUUUGAGGGGAAAAUAUUAACAAGUUGUGCUUCUGAUAUACUUAUACAUGUAGAAUUGGCUAAUCUCAGCAAAAUUCUUUUUGGACGUUUUUAAACAAAAAUAAUUAAAGAUGUCAUGAUAAACAUUUUAUUUUCAACUUGUUGGCAAUGAAUGACCAUGUGGCAUACAUGUACAUCCCUUUUCAAACCACAACCAUCCCCAAAGACCCCACCCCCGAUCUUCCACUUUUUACAACAAGCUUUUUAAGAAAGUUUGUUCCCUCUUUUUUGUGGAAUAAAACUUAUAUCGUGUGGAGGCUCUACAAAGUUCGCUUAAUUUAUUUUAAUUCAUAACCCAUACAGAAAAAAUUAUCACUAGGCCAACUGCAUUGCUCAACUGGCCGCCAGUUGAGCUAACAAUUUAUGGACUACACAUUGUAGAAAAAAUAAAUUUAAAUUGUGUAUUUUUAUAGCCAAAGUACUGCUGAAAGAUCUUAACUCACAAC